rnacentral:rRNA from 1 species
UUCAUGUGUAGUCUUGCGGAGCACGCCGCGUGAGUGUGAGUUUUCGGAUCGUAAAGCUCUGUUGUUAGGGAAGAACAAGUGCCGUUCGAAUAGGGCGGGACCUUGACGGUACCUAACCAGAAAGCCCCGGCUAACUACGUGCCAGAAGAA